CAGCAGGUCACACAGCAGAUUGGCUUGAACAGAUCUGGAACUUUGACCUCUGGAUUGCCAACUCACUGCAGUUGGUGUUUUCCUUUGCUGCAGGCAUUUGUUACUGGUUUUAAAGCUGGUGAUUAUUAUCAUCUGCUGUACUGAAAGGAAGCAAAGGGUAUAGCUACAAACAGUGAAACUGUGACCAACACAUAAAUAAUGUCAUUGUCCUAAGCAGUCCCAGAUAGUUGCAGGGAUGGAAGUUUAUGCUCCUGAUGAGGGAGCCUCUGCAAAGGAAAGGCAGAAGGCACAAAGAAUUGAGGAACAAAUCUUAAUUGUACUUUCUGUUUGCUCCUUGUUGCUCAGGCUCUGAAGUGCCAAGGUUGCCAAGUGGCUUGAAAAUUUCUGAGACUAUAUUUCCUAAGUGGAAUAAAAGCAGUACAGAACAGCAUAUUUGUUAUAGUUCUGUGUUUAGCUGGAAUGUAGAAGGACUUCUGAGGGCAAAACCCUUGUUUUGGGACCUGACUCAAGACAGCAUUUCUGCUUCCUCUUCUUGUUACCAAAAAUAAAAAGCAUUAUUAAGCAAUGAUGUUUACAGCUAUGCCAGGGAAGCUGUAUUGCUUCCAUUGAUUGCACAGAGUGUUGUCAGAGAACACUAUGAAAAGGACUCAGAAACCUGGGACAUUGAGAGAGGACAGCUCAGAGGGCACCACAGGCUAAGCUGAGAUAUCAGUUCCCAUAAGAGGCAGAGACUUCUGAAUCUGAAAAUGAAAAGCUUAAAUGUCAAAGAUAAAGGAAUGAUAAAAGCAGCUGUCAAGGGUGGUCAGCAGCUGGAUUCCCAAAACACCUUAGGAAGAACUUAGGGUGACAAGCAGGAAAAGGGGUACUGUCAAAAGCAUCUACUAUGGUCUCAGGAUCAGAGAGAGAGAGGAAAACAGAGGUUAAAGGUUUUUUUAAAAAACAGGUUUAUAGAACAACAUGAAAAGAAGGCAGAUAGGAUUUAGAAACAGCUUUGCUAAAGGAGAAAUCGGUUGAGUGUUCUAAUGAUGGAAGGAGAAGGACAAGAGUUUGAAUGAGGGAAAAGGGAUCUGACAAACUUGAAACUUUCUUUUUGUUAGUUAGCUGGAGGUGACAAGGCACUCCUUCAGUUCUGGUGCUAUAAAUGGGAGCUUGGAGUACAGCCAGGAGAUAUUUAGAUCACUCAAAGGCAGAAAUUACUUUUGGAAAUACUGAGAAUAGGUGAUGUCAUUUAGGUGAAAGAGAGAUAGUGCACCAAAAGAGGCAGCAGGAAAAGGAAAUCUGUCUUUUUAUCACCUUAUUCAAUCGGGUUAAGUUUUAGGAGGAGAAGUAGUUAUUGCUUCUCCUUUCUCCUUUGAUGUUAUAUAGACUGAUAAAUGCAGUCAUUGAAAAUAUUAAAAAGUUAUUAUGAAGAUAAGAUUUGGACUUUGUCAUCCUGGUCACUCAGAUAUAUCAAAUUUCAGUGAAGGAAAGGAAAAAAUAUGUAGUAGAUUGAAAAGGAUUAGAAGUAGUAAAGCAAGAGGAAUUACUUUGCUAUACAAAACACUGAAAAAGUUUUGGAGAGAGGUUGACUGGAACAGGUUCAGUGAUGAAGGUGAGAGGCUGAAAAUGAGAGGAGACAGUGUGGGGACUGAUGUAGGCUGACUCCUGCUCUAUGUGAAAUGCAUGGUCAGCUCAGUAUUUCUUGGUACUGUGAGCAAGGUUGAAUUUUAGUUCCUAAGAGGUGAGGGGAAAAUAAAUUUCCUCUCCCAGAGAGGAUGAAAACCAACUCCUGUGGCUGCUGCUGCCUUCCAGAGAGUGAGAAAAUCUGCAGCUGUUGUAGACAAGAAGUCAGAUGCAGUGCCAUGGCAACUGCUCUGAGACCAAGCAAGUCUGCCUCUUCUUGCUUUCUUAUGUUAUGUUUUUUUCCAUCCCAUUAGUUUAAAAGGUUAUUUAUCUUUUCUCUCCCACCCCCCCAAUAAUUGCUUGCUUUGGUAAUAGUGCACACAAAUGAGAAGAGACAUCAUUCAAAUUGUUAAAGAGAUAUAAGAACACAGACAGGGAUUAAAUCACUUGAGAAGGCAUCAACAAUACUGAUUGUUUUUAAUGGAAAGGUGAGAAGGUUUUAUAACCAUUGCAGCAUUGGAUCUUAGGAUCUACACUGAAGUCUUAUAGUUCUGGGCACAGUGAGUACAAGUCCAAGAACCAGCUUCCACCAUGAGGAGCCCUAAAAUACAAUCUGCUCUUCCACAAGCUGUACGGUUCCGUAGGCUGUGUCUUCACUAGCAAGUAGUGUGGAGCAGUGGAUGUGGAUCUGCAGGAGCAAACAGGCUGCAGGUUGUCUGCAGGAGACCAGAGCAGGCUGCCAGGCAGAAAUUUCAAAAGCAGACUUGCUGUCUGAGAUGCUAUGGGAGCAUGGAGCAUGGAGGAACAGAGAAUUACUGUUAUAUAAGCUUUCUAUUUCCUGGCUGAACAAGACAGGUCUCUUGUAGAAACUGAAGCCACGAACUAACAUGAAUCCCUAACAUGUGUGACAAAGCAUAACAGUGAAGUGGGGAAAGGCAUCCAACUGUCACAGCUCUGCAGGAUGUGCCCCAGAGAGGGAGCUGCCCCACGUGUCUGUCUCUGGGGUGCAUCAGAUGAAAUGUAGUGCUUUUGUCCUAAACUUAUUUUGCACUGCAAAGUAAGACAGUUAUCAGCUGCUUUUCUGUUAUCCUCUGAGGGGAGCAUUUUCUGCAGCUGCUGAAUUGCACUCAGAACAGUGGAGAAUGAUCACCAUGACUUACAAGGAGGCUUCAGGUCAAUACCAUGCUGAGGAAGGGAAGGAGCAGGGGCUGAUCAGACAAAGUUUCCAGGGUGAUUUUUAUGUCUUUAAGACAAAUUAAGGCUUGACAAGCAGCAUUUAGACCUAAGGACCAAAAUUCCUAAAGAGUCUUCAAGUUCUAUAGCUAUGGAAUUUUUAUGAAUGAAGUAAGAAGCAGGCACAAGAGGUCUUCAGGGCUGGAUUUGCACCCCAAGCUGCAGAAACCUAAAGGAAGCCACGAGAGGGCCAGUAAAAUACUGGUCUCUGAUAGCCCAGAUCAGUUUCUUCACACUUGUGCCAGUGCAAGGGGAGGAUGGCACGAGGUAAGAAUAAGGAAUUGAUGAUUAUCAAUCUUUUGGUGCCAAUGCACUUCCAGCUUGGUGUGAAAAGAUAAGCUAGUUGUGUUUGGUGUAAAGGAAAUUCUGCUUGAAGAUUAAGUGGAAGAGAAAGAAACAACAUUUUCUUCCAUUCUACUUAAUGUACCAGUAAUUAAUCUGGUUGGAAGUGUAUUAUUCUGGAGCCUGAUUUCUGGGUAUUUAGUAUGUGCUUUUGGAAACCUUGUUUCUACCAGAGCUGUAGAGAUUUCUUCUGAGCAAAAGAGGGACAGAGCAUGUAACACAUGUGCAUCUGUGCAUGCACAUGCAUGCUGCACAACUGCUCUGCACCUUGGUAGUCAGUUGGUCUGGGGAACAGGUUGGAGCUUAUGUAAAAGAGUAUCUUACUAGAAUUGGCUUGUAUAUAAUAUAUACUUUGCUAAAUAUAUUUUAUUUCUGAGUAAUGAUAAAAAAAAUAUUUGGUCUAGACAGUUUAGCAUUCUAAAAGCUAUAGGUAAGAAAAUUGCUUCACAAAUCCCCCAGACAUCUACCACAGCUCUGAAAAUCACUAUUGACCACUGUAUAGAUCUAAAGACUGUGUAUUUCACAGUUAAAAUACACCAAACAUUUCAGAAAUCUUAGUGGUUUCCCUCCAUGACUAUUUUUUCAUUUUGAUAUACUCACUGCACACUUCCCCACUGAGCCACUUUCUUGCAUCAUCAAACAAUCUAUAAUCCAUAUUUUACAGAAGGGUUUUCAAAAAACAAUAACCUACUCCCAAAUGUAAAUCAAGUGAACAAUGAAGAAUUUGGUCCACAUUCAAUUAAAAUUUUAGGCAAAUGCUCAGACAUUUUACCUCAUGGAAGCACUUCUGAAUGUGAAUUUAAAAUUAACCCUGUAUGGGGUUAAAAUGCUGAACUGGAAAGGCAGGUCAUGUGAGCUCCCAGAAAUCAAAGGUGACACUUGUAUUUAUUGAUUCGUUCAUUGACCUCUUUUAUGGCAAUAUUACAGAAGAUUAGAAUGGGGAUGUAUUGAACUUGCAUGGCCUGGUUUUGGUAGUGGGGGGCUGCAGGGCUGGCUUCUGUGAGGAGCUGCCAGAAGCUUCUACCGUGUCUGGCAGAGCCAAUCCCUGGUGGCUCCAAAGAUGGAUGUGCUGCUGGCCAGGGCUGAGCCACCUUGAUGGGAUGGUAACACCUUUGUGGUAACACAUUUUAGAAGAAAGAAAAAAAGAAGUUAUUGUGCAGUUGUGACUGCCAGAGAAGAGUGGGGUGAGAACAUGUGGGAGGAACAACCCUGCAAACACCAAGGUCAGUG